GGUACCCACGUUCGGACUGCAGGCUGCAACCCGCCUGCACGAAGCCGGAGUUGCUAGUAAUCGCGAAUCAGAAUGUCGCGGUGAAUGCGUUCCCGGGUCUUGUACACACCGCCCGUCACACCAUGGAAGUUGGGGGUGCCCAAAGCCGGCAAGCAAAUAUGCUGUCUAAGGCAAAACCAAUGACUGGGGUGAAGUCGUAACAAGGUAUC
rnacentral:rRNA from 1 species